CCGCGCGCACGUGAGCGCGCCGCGCUGCGUGCUAAUUUUAGCUCGCGCGGCGUCCUCGGGGUCUCGCGAGGGCGAGCUGCCGUGUCACAGUGACCCGCUUUCUGUCGGUGUGGUGUCCUCAGGUUUCGCAGGGUUUGUUUCCCUAGGCAGGGGCAAACAUGAACCCCCGUGAGCACAGAACUCCCCGGCAACCCUGACUAGGCUGGGCACCUGCUUCUACCCACAGAGCGCUUUCGUGAGUAGCCCCAUGGUGUGUUCAGAGCAGCAGGAACCCAGAGCCUGUUUCCCCCAGAGCUCGGCCCCCACUUCAUUGGCUUGAAGAUUGCACAAUUCCCCGAGCCUCCCCUGCACCUGGCCUGGUGGCUGUUCGGAGGAGCCCUGCCUCUGGGCACCGGCAAGUUACUGUCCCAGAGAA